CAAAUAGUUUAUAUUGUAAGCGCUUUGUUGAUUGAAAGUAAAAAGAAAAGUACUGUCAUCAGUGUCACGGAUGGGGAAAAAAAAACAUGCAUGCAGUCUUGGUCAGCUGGCAAAUGUUGGUAUUGCGCAACUUGACAUAACCCGAAACCAUUAACCAGAACAUUGACAGACUCAGUUCAAGAAAAGGUUGUCAUGGAAUCACCGGACGAGCUGCCAUACACGUUACUGAUUGGUUCCGUCGUCAUGGUUUUAAUGAUGUCGUUCAUUGUGACACGAGUGUUGACUGGCACAUGUAAGAACACCAGUGAUCUUCGCCCAAAGCAGAAAUCGACCUGAGACAACUUUAAUACCUAUAAAGGCAGCGAAGCUUUACCAAAAUUAAUGUUCCUGUAUAUCUGAUGUAUGUUAUUGUGUAUAUAUUGUAAUUUUUUUUUCAUGAGAAUAAUAAAAGCAAUGAAAUAACAA